rnacentral:rRNA from 1 species
AGAGUUUGAUCAUGGCUCAGGACGAACGCUGGCGGCGUGCUUCAUACAUGCAAGUCGAACGAGAAGCUGACUUCGGUCAGUGGAAAGUGGCGGACGGGUGAGUAAUAUGUAGAGAAUCUGCCCUUGAGUGGGGGACAACAGAGGGAAACUUCUGCUAAUACCCCAUAUGAGCUAACUUGAAAUAGUUAUCUUGAAAACUCCGGUGCUCAAGGAUGAGUCUGCAUCUGAUUAGCUAGUUGGCGGUGUAAUGGACCACCAAGGCGACGAUCAGUAGCUGGUUUGAGAGGAUGAUCAGCCACAAUGGGACUGAGACACGGCCCAUACUCCUACGGGAGGCAGCAGUAGGGAAUUUUGCGCAAUGGGCGAAAGCCCUGACGCAGCAACGCCGCGUGAACGAUUAAGCCCUUCGGGGUGUAAAGUUCUGUCAGUAGGGACGAAUUUUGACGGUACCUACAGAGGAAGCACCGGCUAACUCCGUGCCAGCCGCGGC